rnacentral:rRNA from 1 species
CAUGUCUUUUUGAAUAUUAUAAAAAGUCUGACCUGCCCUAUGAUUAAUAGUUAAAUGGCUGCGGUACUUUGACCGUGCAAAGGUAGCAUAAUAAUUAGUUUCUUAAUUGGGAACUGGUAUGAACGGUUGGACGAGAAAAAUACUGUCUCAAUUUAAUUUAAAUUAAAAAUUUAUUUUUAAGUAAAAAAGCUUAAAUAUUUUUAAAAGACGAGAAGACCCUAUAGAAUUUUAUAUUUAUUAUUAUUUUUAAAAGUUAAAGUAUUUUAGAUUUAAUUAUAAUAAUCAAUAUUUGGUUGGGGCAAUCGAGAAAUUAAAUGAAUUUUUUCUAUAUUUUAACAUUGAUUUAUGAUUAAUUGAUCCAUAAUAUUAUGAUUAUAAGAUUAAAUUACCUUAGGGAUAACAGCGUAAUUUUUUUUUAGAGUUCUUAUCGAAAAAAAAGUUUGCGACC